AUGGCAUGCUGAAUAUACCGGUUCUCGUUAGAUCACCGAAGUUAAGCAUCAUUGGGCGCGGUCAGUACUUGGGUGGGUGACCACCUGGGAACACUGCGUGCCGUU
rnacentral:rRNA from 1 species